UACGGGGGGAGCAAGCGUUGUUCGGAUUUACUGGGCGUAAAGGGCGCGUAGGCGGCCACCGCAAGUCGGUUGUGAAAUCUCCGGGCUUAACCCGGAAAGGUCAAUCGAUACUGCGGGGCUAGAGUGCAGAAGGGGCAACUGGAAUUCCUGGUGUAGCGGUGAAAUGCGCAGAUAUCAGGAGGAACACCGGUGGCGAAGGCGGGUCUCUGGGCCGAUAUUGACGCUGAGGAGCGAAAGCGUGGGGAGCGAACAGG
rnacentral:rRNA from 1 species